UACGAAGGGGGCUAGCGUUGUUCGGAAUCACUGGGCUUAAAGGGCGCGUAGGCGGGCUGUCCAGUCUGGGGUGAAAUCCCGCGGCUCAACCGUGGAACUGCCUCAGAUACUGACGGCCUCGAGGGAGAUAGGGGCAUGCGGAACUGUAGGUGGAGCGGUGAAAUGCGUUGAUAUCUACAGGAACACCGGUGGCGAAGGCGGCGUGCUGGAUCUCUUCUGACGCUGAGGCGCGAAAGCUAGGGGAGCAAACGGG
rnacentral:rRNA from 1 species